rnacentral:lncRNA from 1 species
GUCACUGGAAGGAGCAAUUGUGGUGGGGAGUGGUCAGCUGUCAGAGAGACCUCCCAAUAUCAAUCAGAAAGAAAGUAGCAUAAAAAGAAAAGUGCCAGUACCUCAAAUUUAUACUAAAGCACAGUACUUUAGGGAAUACACAUUUCAUCAUUAGUAUUCUUACAUUUAGGUGUUCCAGUGGACAUAUUUGCAUUCUGACCAAGUGUGCAUAUGUAUGACAGAAAUGAUCUCUGAAGCUACAUGCUAUAUGCAGUGGUCUGAACUUUUCAUAUUGAUGUAUUACAGGCUCUGCUGAUUUCAGCACAAAGAAAGAAGUCUUCGAUAGGGUCAUGGGUGUUCGAAGGCUUCAAGAGGAGAAAAAGAUCCUUGUGAAAGAAAUGAAGCAGCACUGGGAGUCUCUCAAAGCCCAUGCCAGGGUCUUGUCCGAGUUGUCUCAGCAUCAGAGUGAAGACGCCAUGCAAAGACAUCUCACAGAAAAAGCAACAAAGGGUCACACCUGCCUCAUCCUCAGAAGGCAGUGGGAAAUGAGAGAGCUGCAGCGGCAUACAAGAAAACACUACCUGCAUGUACUGUCAUCAGCAGAUGACAUAAUGGACACAAUGGACAGUUCAGAUGAGUUCGACAUUAGCUGUGAAGAUUCAGAGUCGGAUGCAAUGUAAAACAGGAAGAUGUGGUGCUCAUGAUCACAGUGCACCGUGUGCGACACAUGGUCACAGAGCAUGUGGCUUUAAAAAGUAACUAACGUAUGUGCUCAUUGUCAGGAUUAAGUUGGAGAUGACAGUUGUAGUUUUUGUAUUAGGUUGUUGUUAUUUCUGCAUUUUGUUUUGAAAUGUUUCAUCACUUAUAUAAGGUUUGAUUUUUCUACUGGGUUGUGGGAAGUUCCUGGUUAAUGUUGACUUACAUCUUUACAACACAAACCACUGUCCUUUACUGUCUUAUCUUUGAUUGAUGUUCAGUUCUGCAUCUUUUCAGGGAUUUUCUUUCCAGUUGAUCUUUACUGUUUGAUUAAUAAUUCUUCUUUAAUGUUUAAUUAAACAAAGGCACAAUAAAGCUACAUUUCUGAUUGAGUCCUUGGAUGUUACUACUGUUUUAGGUUAGACUUAUUUUAUCUGAGCAAUUCCCACAUGCUUUCAGAGUACAUGAAUUCAGUAUAUGGCAAGAGGAGAGAUUCAGAGGAAGGACUAGUGAUAUGGGAUUUUCAGCAUCAAGUUUUCAAUAACAUGAACUGUUUUAAUGCAAUUAUAUAGUAUAACAUCCAACUUUACACAGGUUGAAUGAUUUAGCAAACCACAUUUUAUGUGAUAUACUGUAUAUCAGAUGAACUAGCCAAAGUCAAAACAUGUAUGUAACAUGUAAAGAAAAGACUUAAAUAAAAUAAGAGUAUCUCAAAUUUGUAUUUAUAAUUAUAAUAAUAUAAUUUUAAGUGGCUCCUGCUGUGAAAUAUUGACCUCUGAACCUUGACCUCAGUGCAUAUUGGAAGGCUUGUCAUUCAGCAACAGAAGAGGCUACAGACAUGGGACCAACUGUUUCAGAAAGCUCUUGACUUCAGCUGUGUGACUAUAUUCAUAUAAAUAUAGUCACCAAGUGGGGGCACUGUCAUGUAUGAUCAAAAUGAAUUUUCACCAAUUUAACAAUUGCAUAUUUACAAUCUGAUCACAUAAAUGUGUUUCCCACUCCUUUAAAUCUAUCAGUAUACUGUUAAUUUAAUAUU